CUGGUCUCUCCUGCUCUCUUCUCGGAAAUUAAAGCAAGGCUGCAUCCGAGAGUGGAGAAGGUCCCCCUUCUGGUAGUAGAAGGAAGGAUGCAAAAGCAACUCACCCCCGGACCUGCUGGUUUAUUUACUUAUUUCCUCCGCAACAGUGGAACGGAACCUGUGAAUUUUCCACAGAUUUCACGGCGGAUGCAAUUUGAAAAGCAGUUUUCUUCUGCAAAUUGCGCCUCUUAAAACAAACGCGCGUCUGGUCGCGUGCUGUUUAAAUAGACAUUUUUAUAUAUCGAUUUUCUAUCUGCUGUCUCCUUUUCAUUUAAACAAGUGCACUGUUGCCGUCGUCUUAUUUCCGCAACUUUCAAAGAAUUUUUUUAAAGUAAUCACGCAGCUGCCUCGCGUUUACUGAUACGAAUGUUAUUAUUUGUAAAUCUGAUUGUAGGGAUUGCCUUUUUUUUCCGCCCUUCGGUACUUCAACUAGGAUUAGGACCGUGACGUCUCCAGUUCUGUGAAUAAGGUUGUGAUAUCAGUCCCACAGAUGCCUCCAGAGAACUGCCCUUGGGGAGGAGGGGAAGACCUUCUGAUUUAUGAACUGCACUGUGUGAAGUUAUGUACUGCCUGAGUAGAUAUUUAUUGAGAUGCAAUUUGGGACAUAGGCCCUAUCAAUCACAGUAGCAAAGCAUCAACCCCUUUGAGAAGUUUCAAAUCACUGUAACAAAAUUGCAAUCCUGAGGUCCAAACCACUGGGGGGAAAAUAACCCACUGCUCUCACUACAGAACAUUCCUUCCAAAGAAGAGCUGUGCAGGAUUCAAGAAGAUAGAAUUUUUCCAGCUUUUCAACUUUUGAAAAAGUCUCAAGCCCUGAGGGUAUAAAUUUAUUGCCUUUAGAGAAGCAGCAAAUACAAUCACCAAGAUGCUGAUACUGUUCAUGUUAAAAUUCAAUUGCAAUUUUAUUUUAGAGUGGUUAUCAUUUACAAUUUUUGAUGGUUACUUAAUUAUCAAACUAAAUGAUUGUGAUUAAAAAAAGGUUGUUACAGAAAAACAAAAUAGACAAUAUAUGGGAAAUGAAUGAUACUAUGGAAUGACAUUACAGAUUUUCUCAGCUUGGUACCUCCAGAUGUACUGGACUCUGGCUAUGAAUUAUGGGAAUUGAAGUGCAACACAUCUGGAGAGCACCAGAUUGGGAAAAGCUGGCAUACUGUGUUUCUUCCCGAAUUAGACAUAUACUGGUGUUUCAAAUGUUGCCUUGGCCCAGUCUGCAUGUGCUUCAGUUAACCAGGGGGCCUAGACUGGGACCCUUUACUUAUACCCAAAUAAAUCUACUUUUCUUUUUUCACUUUACAUAUGUUUUUAUGUAUUUGUAUCCUGCCUUUAAAAAUGUUUACAAAUAACUCAAGGUGGUGAACUUAUCUGACAUACCUACGUUCUCCUAUUUUCCCUACAAUAACAACCCUUUGGAGUAUGUUAGGUUGAGAGAGAGUCACUGGCCGAGAUCAUUUAGCUUUUAUGGCUCAUUGUCUUCCACUUUCUAGCCUGGUGCCUUAACCACUAGCCUAAAUUGGCUCUAUCAGAGAGAAAAAAGUUAAUAUAUUGUAGAAUAGCACUAAAAAGUUUGAGAAUAUAAGGCAUAAUCAAAUUGUGGCAGGAAUGUUGUGCAAAUUUUCUGAGCUAGUUUUCUAGCAUUUUACCCUAAUCAGACAAACGUAUGAUAAUUUAUCAGGUUCCAUCUCCUUCAAUGACCUAGAUAAACUGCAAAGAUAAAAACUGUAUGGGUACCUACAUGUUCAUAUCUUUCCCACAUUAGCUUUCCCCGAGCAGCCCAUGUUUCUCUUUAUCAGAGUUCUCCAGAAUUUUUAUUUAUUCUUAUAAUGUAUUUAUUAUGAAAUUUAUUUGCUGACCAUCUCAUAUCCAAUGGGUGGCUUACAACAUAAAGUUAAAAUUGAGAUGAAUUAUUUCCUAGUUUCCAAGUUGUGGAAGUCUGACCAACGAAUGGAGCUGGACAGGUUCUCUGUUCUUAAUAUUACAAUUUAAAGAAUAUAAAUCAAAAGUAAAUCAUUGCAUGUGACAUUUCGAUCUGUAUUAUAUUUUUCUCAUGGGGAUCUGCAGAUGACAUAAAUUUAUAAUAAAUUUGGAUUAAG